rnacentral:rRNA from 1 species
UACGUAGGUGGCAAGCGUUAUCCGGAUUUAUUGGGCGUAAAGGGAACGCAGGCGGUCUUUUAAGUCUGAUGUGAAAGCCUUCGGCUUAACCGGAGUAGUGCAUUGGAAACUGGUUGACUUGAGUACAGAAGAGGGAAGUGGAAUUCCAUGUGUAGCGGUGAAAUGCGUAGAGAUAUGGAGGAACACCAGUGGCGAAGGCGGCUUCCUGGGCUUUUACUGACGCUGAGGCUCGAAAGCGUGGGUAGCAAACA